AACGAACGCUGGCGGCAGGCCUAACACAUGCAAGUCGAACGGACCCUUCGGGGUUAGUGGCGCACGGGUGAGUAACACGUGGGAAUAUGCCCUUAGGUACGGGACAACAGCUGGAAACGGCUGCUAAUACCGUAUGAUAUCGAGAGAUCAAAGAUUUAUCGCCUAAGGAUUAGCCCGCGUUAGAUUAGGUAGUUGGUGGGGUAAGAGCCUACCAAGCCUACGAUCUAUAGCUGGUCUCAGAGGAUGAUCAGCCACACUGGAACUGAGACACGGUCCAGACUCCUACGGGAGGCAGCAGUGAGGAAUAUUGGACAAUGGGCGAAAGCCUGAUCCAGCCAUGCCGGGUGAAUGAUGAAGGCCUUAGGGUUGUAAAGUUCUUUUAGUAGUGAAGAUGAUGACGGUAACUACAGAAAAAGCCCCGGCUAACUCCGUGCCAGCAGCCGCCGUAACAC
rnacentral:rRNA from 1 species